CAUCAGAGACAGACUCAACACAUGGAAACGGAAGAUGUGCAGCAGCUGUUGGUGGUUAAACAAGAGGUUCCCCCUGAGCAGCAGGAGUGUAGCUCCAGUAUGGACCAGGAGGAGCCACACCCCCCCCCACACAUUAAAGAGGAACAGGAGG